rnacentral:rRNA from 1 species
AGCAUACAAGGCAUACGGCUCAGUAACGCGUAGUCAACCUAACCUAUGGACGGGAAUAACCUCGGGAAACUGAGAAUAAUGCCCGAUAGAACAUUAUGCCUGGAAUGGUUUAUGUUCCAAAUGAUUUAUCGCCGUAGGAUGGGACUGCGGCCUAUCAGUUUGUUGGUGAGGUAAUGGCCCACCAAGACUAUUACAGGUACGGGCUCUGAGAGGAGUAGCCCGGAGAUGGGUACUGAGACACGGACCCAGGCCCUAUGGGGCGCAGCAGGCGAGAAAACUUUGCAAUGUGCGAAAGCACGACAAGGUUAAUCCGAGUGGUUUCUGCUAAAGAAACCUUUUGUCAGUCCUAGAAACACUGAUGAAUAAGGGGUGGGCAAGUUCUGGUGUCAGCCGCCGCGGUAAAACCAGCACCUCAAGUGGUCAGGAUGAUUAUUGGGCCUAAAGCAUCCGUAGCCGGCUCUGUAAGUUUUCGGUUAAAUCUGUACGCUCAACGUACAGGCUGCCGGGAAUACUGCAGAGCUAGGGAGUGGGAGAGGUAGACGGUACUCGGUAGGAAGGGGUAAAAUCCUUUGAUCUAUUGAUGACCACCUGUGGCGAAGGCGGUCUACCAGAACACGUCCGACGGUGAGGGAUGAAAGCUGGGGGAGCAAACCGGAUUAGAUACCCGGGUAGUCCCAGCUGUAAACUAUGCAAACUCAGUGAUGCAUUGGCUUGUGGCCAAUGCAGUGCUGCAGGGAAGCCGUUAAGUUUGCCGCCUGGGAAGUACGUACGCAAGUAUGAAACUUAAAGGAAUUGGCGGGGGAGCACCACAAGGGGUGAAGCCUGCGGUUCAAUUGGAGUCAACGCCGGGA